UUCAUGUGGUCCUGACGCCAGCUGAGCGAGAUAAACAACACGCCGAGGGGUCAGAGGGAAGGGCAGCAACAGCAGGCCGAGCAGGAGCUGUGAAGGUGAAAGAACAGAAACCGAGGUGCACGAGGACAAGCGAAAAGCCCUGUGAUGAGAAAAAUUAUUUACGGAUGAAAGAGAUGCAAGGAAUGUAAUGCCAGGCAGAACAAGGAGGCAGUAAUGACCCACCACAUUAAGGAGCCAAGAAUGGUGGUGGUAACUGGUGAGCUGAGCUAAGGGAAGAAAUUCAGCGCGUCUAAGAGUCAUGAUCAGCACCACCACCCGCAUGUACAGCUACCUAGGCAGGUGGCUUGGGGUGGCUGGCUACAUGAUACAGUAUGGAUGCAUUGCCCACUGUACUCUUGAGUUUGUGGGUGACUUUGUUGUGUGUCGUGGACCCUCUAUGGAGCCAACAAUCUACUCUGAGGACGUAAUACUGACAGAACACAUUACUCCUCGUUUCAACCGCAUUAGUCGUGGAGAUGUAAUCAUUGCUCGCUCUCCUACCAACCCCCAUCACCACAUCUGCAAGCGUGUUACUGGUCUGGAAGGGGACAGAGUCAAGGAUGGAUUUAAGACACAUUAUGUUCCCAAAGGUCACGUGUGGCUGGAGGGAGACAACCAUAACAACUCAACUGACUCCCGUAACUUUGGCUCGGUACCAGCUGGGUUGAUCCGAGGGCGAGCAGUGUUCAGGGUGUGGCCGCUCUCUGACCUGGGUCUGCUGGACUCUUCCUACUCUUCUUCCUCCUCAGCCCAGAAGUGGGAGGUGGAUCAAUGAUGAAAUGUUCCAGUAGAGGAGAUUAUUAUUGCUCCCUUUUUCUAACCAUCCUGAUUUUCUCAACUGCUGUAACUUACAUGGGACUGGUGGGAUGAAGUCUGCGUGCCUGCCAGUACACACACACACACACACACACACACACACACAUACAAGUAUUGAUGUAUGGAACAGUCUGGAUGAGGAGAUAGUAAAUGCAGAAAGUAUACAUGGAUUCAAGGCUAAGUUGGAUAUUAAAAGAUAUGGAGAUGGGACAGCACGAGCAUAGCUCGGAUUCAAGGCUAAGUUGGAUAUUAAAAGAUAUGGAGAUGGGACAGCACGAGCAUAGCUCUUUUCCCAUAAAGCACAACUAGGUAAAUACAACUAGGUAAACACACGCACACACACACACACACACUUACACAUAAGAGAGUGGUACAUGUAAGAAAUGCUCAUGACUUUAAUACAUACAGACACAUGCUAUUUGGAGCUAUUUUUUUUUCCACUUCAAUGCUGAGCCUCCCUCCUCCCCCUCUUUUUUUUUUUUUUACUGUAUAAAUCAAUUGAAAAUUCUGUAAAAACUAAGGAGAAAAGUUAUAAUAACACUCAUCACGGCCUAUUUUUACCUUUAUGGGAGAUGCUUAUAGAGUGCAUUAUGGUGCAUCCUCCAGCCCAGCUGCCAACCUCCCCUCAUCUUGUAUGCCACUUUGACAUUGUAUUAUUCUUGCUUGAGUGUUGUUUGUAAGCAGUAUGAUUGCCUUUUUGACUACAUACAUGUACAACUGUGUGAGAUAUAUAAAGAUAACUAUACGGUGGUCUCCCACUCGUUACUAGUAUUAGGGGACAGCAACCACUAUGUUGAGCAGAAAUCUGCAAUAUUUUUCCAUCCCCCCUAAAGAGAUACAGAAAUUACAUUUCAACACCUUGCAACCUCCUAAAAAGAUCUGUAUUGGCCAGUAAAAUAAAUACUAAACAAUAAAUGCUAAACAACAACCAUUAGUGGCAGCAGGGGUGAUCAAGAGCUGGAGUCACGGGCUUCAUAACCUCUUUCAGCAAGCUCCUCUGUGAAACAAGUGAAAAAAGAAAGCAAGUGGCUAGAAGUAGAAGAGUAUGGUAAUGACAAUGAAAGACAGCAUCUUGCUUGACCAGUAAACAAGGAGAGAACAGGGUAGAGAGGAAGUAUGUCAGGCUAGAAAUCAAAGGAAGCACAAGGAAUGGGAUAUGCUGUUACUCAUACAUAAAAAGGUGUGUUGUGGUUUCCUUCAUGUAAGAUGAAAAUAGUGGUGGUGUCCCACUAACGAGAUUUGUCAGGUAUACUUCCCAGUGGUGCUGUGUGUGUGUGUGUGUGUGUGUUUGUGUGUGUGUGUGUGUGUGUGUGUGUGUGUGUGUGUGUGUGUGUGUGUGUGUGUGUGUGUAUGCUAUAUUAUUCUGUGUUUUAAUUUUUUUUCAUAUAUCCUUAAUUCAUUAAAUUGAUAGAUAUAAGCUUUUCCAUAAGAAAAAUCUUGGAAUGGAAAUGCACAAUCUUAUUUUGUAAUUAUUGUUGUUACUGCUGUGGCUGGAAUGAGGCAGUGGGCCAGUGGUGCAGUGUGCGAGUUUCAUCAGUGGAAGGGUAGUGCUGGUCUGUGGAAAGUUAGAGAAACGCAGAAGGGAGCGUGUUUGGUACUCGGCACCAAAAAAAUAAUAAAUAAUAAAUAAAAUAAAAAAAUCCAAAGCCAAUAACCAUGUAAAAAUAGGGGCUGCAUUGAUUGAACCAGUGAUGAGCAGGUGUCCACUAUGUGGACACUAUUUCUCUGUGUAAAUUUGUACCAUACUUUCACAAUUAUUCUUGUAUCUGAUGAUCUUACCGUCAUUUUCAUUAUUGUUUUGGUAAUAAUAUGUAAGAAACACAGAGUAUUUUUGAUAUAGGUUAUGAUGGGAUUUCAACUUCAGCCAGCUCAUCCUGAGUUGGUUCAUAGUCAUCCCCAGAUGACUCAGACUCACUGAGCUCAUAAUCAGAGUUCAGAAAUAUGUUCAGUGCCUCAAGGGCAGAAAGAGUGGAGUGGCAGCAGUCAGACAUGGCAUAAACAUUCCUGACUACUGACAAGGAUUCCAUCACCAUGGCACAUGGGUAGAGUGGGUGGGCAGUGAACACCUCUUGAAAUAUGGGUUUCUGCAGAGGGAAAUACUGCAGUGGUGUAAUGAACUUUUAUUUCGGGUGAAGGAGAUGAAGAUGAUAAAGAAGGAAGAACAAAGGAAAAGAAGAAGGAACAGAAGGAAGAAUAUGAAAGGAAAGAAGAGAAAGAAGGGAAAAAAAGAAAUGGAAGAAGGAAAAAAAUUAAGGAAGUAGAAAAAGAUGACAAAAAAAUAUACAGUGAUUGAACUAAUAAAUCUUGUUUUGUUGAUGAAAAGUAUCGCAGAAGAAAUAGUUUUUAAUCCAAACCCACCAGAUGCUCCUUUACCUGUAUAACUCAUAACUUGAAUAAUUUAAAUUUGUUACAUAUUUUCAAAUUACUGUUGACAUUUUAUAAGUUGUAACAAGUUUCUGCAGAUAUUGGUUUGAGGUGAAAGUACAAGUUAUUCUAAGAAAAUGUUCAAUGCUCUUAUGCAUUUUGAGGCCUUGUUUGGCCAUGGUAUAAAAUUCCAGUGUGACAGAUGAACAGAUGGAUGGCAUAUCUGCAUACUCCACAUUACUUAAGCAUAUGGCAUUGCUGAGUUUUUUUUUUUUUUUUUUUCAAAAUUGUCAGAACUAUUGUUCCAACAGGAUAAUUUAUCAUGGUGGCUAACAAUUUCAAUUUAGAUAUAAAGAUCCAGUCUCUAAAAGCCUGAUCAUAAUAUUACUAGCCUCAAACAAUUUAUGGCAAGAUGUAAAAGCUUACAUAAGUCUCUCACUGCACAUAAUAUCAAUAGAGAUGAAAUGUGUUUCAUAUUCCUCAUAAAUUACUUACUAUCCCCUGUAAAGGAAAUAUAAAAAGGGUGCUGAAGGAAAACAUGUUAAAUAUAGAGAAAGUUCUGGAUUGUUUGAGAAAUGAAGUAUUCACAAUUGAGAGUAGUACAUCAAUAGUUGAGAGUAAUGCAUCCAUAGCUAAGAUGGAAAUAGAACAUUAUGCAGAUAGAUUCAAUACAGGACUAAAGAGGGAAGAGAAGCUUAAAAUUCAAUGUAAAUUAUGCCACAGACAAAAUCAUCCAUGGUUCAAAUGCCACAAAUACAGAUCCUAAUUCAGAGGAUAAUGUAAUGGAUGUUUGGAACCUGAGCACUACAAUAAAGGUUGCACAAAUCCUAACAUAAAAAAAUGCAAAUUUUGCAAAAAGAAACACUGCCAUUCCCUUUGUUUAAAAUCUAAAUCAACAAAUCCCAAAGAAAGGACUAUCUUAACUACUACACUAAUAUUACUCCUUGUAGCAAAAGGAGGUAAGAACACUAAGUUAAGGGCCUUGUUAGACCAGUGUUCACAAAAAAAAUUUUGUCCUCAAGUCCUCUUUGGCCAUAAUAAAGUAUAAAUUGAUUGACAAAGAAACCCUAAUGCUACAGGUGAUCAGAUAAACAGGGAUUUUAUAAAGAAAGUGGAUAUGCAUAACAAUAACCAUCAUGCUCUUCACUAUUUAUCACAUCAUGGCAUGAAAAAAGAUAGCAUAACCACUCCAGUUAGAAUAGACUAUGAUUGUUCAGCUAAACAAUCCCCUAAUUCAUUAAGCCUCAAUGACUGCUUGUUAACAGGUCCAAGUCUAGUACCUGACUUAGCUCAGAUUCUACAAAGAUCCAGGCACCAAAAAUGUACCUUCAUGUCAGAUAUAAAAAACACAUCACUGAUGGUAGAUGAUGAAAAAGAUUGAGACUAUAUUAGAUUUCUGUGGCCAAGAGAUCCCUUAAAUCCUGUUUUCCCAUUUUACAUCUUUAGGUUCAAGGUUGUUUUGUUUGAAGCCACCUGUUCUCAGUAUCUACUUAAUGCCGCCAUUGCCCAUCACCUAACUGAUUUCCAAGAACAGGAGGACAGUAUUAAGAACAUAAAACAAGGAAUAUAUAUUGACAACCUACAGGGAACAAAUAAGCAUGAAGAGGAUCUAUUAGAACAAUACUGGCAGGUACAGAGAAUAAUUAAUAAGGCCCACCUGAUAUAAGAGAAUGGGUAACUAACAAUCCCAAACUACAAGAUCAACUUGAGAUAUACAAUGGUAUAUCUAAGAAACAAGACCAAGUUAAUCUGGAAACCAGGUACACAAACACACUUUCAAAAUCAGUGACUUUAAGGAUCCUGAUAAAAUAACAAAAAGAUCAUGCUUAAGUAUGGUGUCAAAACCAUUUGAUCCACAAGGCUUAUUGCUUUACGUAACAGUCAAGUCAAGAAUAUUUUUACAAGGCCUGUGGAAACUAAAAACAUCAUGGGAUCAGACUCUACCUGAUAAACUUUGUGAUCAACAGAAUCUACUUAACAAGGAACUCAAAACAGCAAACAAAACAGAAAUGCUUAGAACAACCAUAAUACAAGAGGAAACAGACUUGCAUAUUUUUAAUACCAGCAAUAAGAUAUGUGGAGUUUGUGCCUACAUAUGUAACAGUGGGUAAGGGAACUUGAUAAUAGGUAAAGCAAAGGUUGCCCCAUUAAAAAACCUCACCUUCCUUAAAUAGAACUAACUGCGGUCCUCUUAGCUGCUAGGCUAAUCACUUCAUCCAUGAAGCCUAUUAGGGUGUAAUUAAUGUAAGAAGCAUUAACUUAUUGUGUGACAACCAAAUCACUCUAUAUUAGUUACAAAGUCAGAAGACAUUACCCAUAUAUGUGGCCAGUAGUGUAAGAGAAAUCAACCAACUCAUUCCUAAUGUAAACAUAAAAUAUGUGACAACUAAAGAUGUUCCAGCAUAUCUCCUAACUCAGGGAAUAAAUAUAGAUGAGCUAAAUCAGUCCUCUCUGUGGUGGCAAAGACCCUCAUGGCUGGCCCACAAAAAUGAGUGGCCAAAAGUGCAAAUUAACAUGACUCAACCUACUGAGACAAAUAAUUCUAAAUACAGUCACAACACCAGCUAAAUUAUUGGAAUACAGCAAAUAUAACUAGAGAUAAAAAAUAUUAGCCUAAAACUCCUUUAUUAACAGAAAGUGUUGAAGUCUUUCAAGAUCCAGUUCCUCCCAUGACUUCUGGCACCUAGCCAGAAACAUCUCCAAUAACUUUGCUUCUUCAUCUUUCCCUCCUUUAUUUCAACCUGAUGGCACCAUUGCCAUCUCAUCUAUUUCUAAAGCUGAACUCUUUACUCAAACCUUUGCUAAAAACACUACCUUCAAUAAUUCAGGGCUUGUUCCUCCCUUUCCUCCAUCCUCUGACUACUUCAUGUUACUUAUUAAAAUUCUUUGUAAUGAUGUUUUCCAUACUCUCGCUGACCUAAACCCUCGGAAGGCUUAUGAACCUGAUGGGGUCCCUCUUAUUGCUCUCCGAAACUGUACCUCCAUGCUUGCACCUUGCCUAGUCAAACUCUCUCAAGUUUGUCUGUCAACACCUACCUUCCCUUCUUCCUGGAAGUUUACUUACAUUCAGCUUGUUCCUAAAAAGGGUGACCAUUCUGAUCCCUUAAACUACUGUGUUAUUGCUUUAAUUUCGUGUCUAUCUAAAGUUUUUUAAUAUAUCCUCAACAGGAAGAUUCUUAAACUUAUAUCACCUCACAACCUUCUAUCUGAUUGCCAGUAUGGUUCCAUCAAGGCCACUCUGCUGGUGAUCUGGCUUUCCUUACUAAGUCUUGGUCAUCCUCAAAACUUUUGCUGUUGCCUUAGACAUAACAAAGGCUUUUGAUAGAACCUGGCACAAAGCUUUGAUUUCUAAACUAUCCUCCUAUGGGUUCUAUCUUUCUCUCAGUGGCUUUAUCUCAAGUUUCCUUUUUGACUGUUCUAUUGCUGCUGUGGUAGACAGUUACUGUUCUAAAAUCUAUUAACAGUGGUUUUCCUCAGGGUUCUGUUCUGUUACCCACUCUCUUCCUAUUAUUCAUCAAUGAUCUUCUAAAACAAAUUUCUUGUACUAUCCACUCCUACGCUGAUGAUACCACCCUGCACUUUUUCACGUCUUUUCAUAGACAUCCAACCUUUCAAGAAAUAAACAGUUCACACAGGGAAGCCACAAAAUGCCUGACUUCUGAUCUCACUAAAAUUUCUGAUUGGGACAGAGCAAACUUAGUAUUAUUCAAUGCCUCAAAAACUCAAUUCCUCCAUCUAUCAACUUGAAACAGCCUUCCAGACAACUAUCCACUCUCCUUCAAUGACAUUCAACUGCUCCCCCUCUUCUACACUGAACAUCCUCAGUCUGUCCCUUACUUAUAAUCUAAACUGGAAACUUCACAUCUCAUCUCUAGCUAAAACAGCUUCUGUGAAGUUAGGUGUUCUGAGUUGUCUCUGCCAGUUUUUCUUCCCUCCCCCCCACCUCACCCCUGCUGCUAACUCUGUACAGGGGCCUUAUCUGUCCAUGUAUGGAGUAUGCUUUACAUGUAUGGGGGGGUUCCACUCAUACUGCUCUUUUAGAUGGGGUGAAAUCAAAAGCUUUUCAUCUUAUCAACUCUCCUCUAACUGACUGUCUUCAGCCUCUUUCUCAUCACCGCAGUGUUGCAUCACUUGCUAUCUUUAUUGCUAUUUUCAUGCCAACUGCUCUUCUAUUCUUGCUAAUUGCAUGCCUUCCCUCCUCCUACUGCCUCACUGCAUAAGUCUUUCUUCUUUCUCUCACCCCUAUUCUAUCCACCUCUCUAAUGCAAAAGUUAACCAAUAUUCUCUAUCAUUCAUCCCUUUCUCUGGUAAACUCUGAACUCCCUGCCUCCUGUAUUUCCAUCUUCCUAUGAUUUGAACUCUUUCAAGAGACUGGUUUCAAGACACAUAUCCUGCAUUUUUUAUUAAUGCUUUUGACUCUGUAAAGGGACUGGCACCUCACUGGGCCUUUCUUUUUUGUUGCAAUUUUUGUUGCCCUUGGUUGGUGUCCCUCCUACAUAAAAAAAAAAAAAAAAGGAAAAUGGGUACUUCAUUAUAUAGAUAACUCCAAGGCUAAGUCAAAGGGUUUGGCUAUAUCAAUACUGCCUAAUCAUUAAGGUGGGAGAAGUAGAGGCAGCAGAACAUAAAUUAAUUAAAUUAAUACAAAAGGAAGAAUUUUUUAAAUACACCUUGUUCAUAAGAAAGGCUGAUAGAUUAUCAUAUACAAACAUAAUACUCUAUGGGUUGUACCUAGAAAAUGACAUCAUAAAAUGUGGUGGGAGAAUACAACUAGCUAAUGUGCCUGAGUCAACCAAACAUCCUAUUUUGCUACCUGGAUAUCACCACAUGACCAACCUACUAAUACAAAGAUGUCAUGAACAAAACUACCAUUAUAGCACCAACUUUAUCAUGGCUUAUAUGAGGCAGAAGUGAUUAGAAAAUGUAAGACAUGCCAGAAAUGUAAAGGCAAACCAUUCUCUCCUGCAGAUGCACUUCUACUUCCACAAUUUAGAACAUAAGUGAACCCUUUAGCAUAACAGGACUGGAUUUUACUAGUGCUCUAAAGGUUAAAGGAGAGGCUAGUCAGGUUGCCAGGGCAUAUAUCAUUCUGUUCACCUGUGCCACUACCAGGGCCAUCCAUUUAGAACUGGUAUCUGAUUUAACAAAUCAAAACUUUAUGAAUGCCUUUAGAUGAUUUACAAGUAGACAGGGUCUACCACAACUUAUAUUAAGUAAUAAUGCAACAACAUUUGUUAUGGCUGCCAAUUAGCCAUGUCAAGGAAAUUAUGGAAGAUCCUCGUGUAAAUAGCCAUUUAACAUCAGUCAACUGUGAAUGAAAAUUUAUUACAGCUUAAGCCCCCUGGUUUGGUUUCAUAUGGGAGAGGUUAAUAGGGAGUGUAAAAACUGAAUUAAGGAAAGUCUUUUGUCACAUUUGAUGAACUAUCAUAUGAGAAUUAAGAUCCACUAUAAAUGAUAGACCCUUAACUUAUGUAAGCAGUGAUAUCAGUGAACUCAUAUUAGAAUUAAGAUCCGCUAUAAAUGAUAGACCCUUAACUUAUGUAAGCAGUGAUAUCAGUGAACUCAAUGCCAUAACCCCUUCACAGUUAUUAAGAGACAAAAGAUUGAAAUCUUUUCCUAAUCAGCUUUCAUUAGAAGAAAUAUCUGACCCAUCUUAGGGUUCUUCACAAAAUUUAAAGGAGACUCAAUUAUAAAAAUAAAUUUAUAAAUGAUAUAUGGAAAAAGGUGGGUCUCAGAGUCCCAUAGGUGCAUAGUUCCCAAAGAAGGCAUGAUAUGGCCACAAGCCAGGGACGUCAUCCUCAUUCAUGAUGAUGGGCUGUGGUUCUGGUGAAGACUUGGUAAAAUCACUGGCCUACAUGAAGGACAGGACGGGUUAGUAAGGGCAGUGUAUGUAAAGACCUCCUCAGGCACAACCACUUGCCCCAUUGCCAGAUUGUAUUCACUCAAACAAAGUCUGGUGGAUGUAGCACCCUCCACUGAUAAUAUCCAGCAGCAGGGGUCUGUCUGUAACCAGUGACCCCUGCAACAAAUGGCGGCAUGCUCUGCAGACUUAUGGAAAUAAAAAUUGAAACCAGCCAAAUUUAAUGUCAAGUUUACCCCAUGUAAAUAUUUAUGAUAUAAAUUAUUUCUCUUGGUGGUGGGAGUAUGUUGGAACUAUUGUUCGUGGUGAUGGUCAUAACAAUCUCAAUCUCAAUAAAAAUGUAUGAACCAAUGAGGAUCCAGGUUGGGUGGAUUCACACUUCUUGAACACCUCGCACUUGCUCUCUCUCUCUCUCUCUCUCUCUCUCUCUCUCUCUCUCUCUCUCUCUCUCUCUCUCUCUCUCUCUCUCUCUCUCUCUCUCUCUCUCUCUCUCUCUCUCUCUCUCUCUCUCUCUCUCUCUCUCUCUCUCUCUCUCUCUCUCUCUCUCUCUCUCUCUCUCUCAGCUUAGUUACAUUCAAUGAGUGAUUGCAGUGACACUCUUGCUCUCACUCAAGCUCUUACACUCCUGCUCCUGUUCAAGAUAGUUAUAUCUCAGCUUGCAACUGGAGCACUUCGCCACUUAUCUUCACUCAGCAUAUCACUACUCCAGACAGACAUUCUACUCAGACAUUACAACUAAAUACUCUAUUAGUGGCAGGGCUGUGCUGGUAUAGGUGCUUAGCUCAGUGUAUGUCUGUCUAAUACCAAGAAAACAUCUGGCAUUAGCCUUUGUAUGCUGAUUCUCCAAAAAAUUAUGCAGUACAAUCUAAAUAUAUUCAUUGUCACUGUCUUGGCAGGAAACUGCAAGUGACUGACUGACUGUCAGCUGAUUUGAUACUAGCCUCUCUUCCCUGUCCCUUCCUGGGAAGGCAUGGCCUAAUGUAGCACAUCAUUUUAUUUGUCAUCACUUACAACUAUACUAUCCUUGUGUAAUGUUUACCAGUAAAUCAGCUGUCCAUUAAUAUUGCUAAUCUCAUUAUGGAAUGCUGUAGUGAUCCAAAACUUAUAGAAAUCAUGAUUGAAUAAUUAACAAUUUUACUCAUGGAUAUCCCACAUCUACACAUCCUGCCAUGGCCUCUUCUAGCCAUUGUUGUCCACCUACAUUACACUACACUACAAAAUGCACAUGUGCAUAGAACAUUUUCAAUUUGAAAUAACUUGUACUUUCAUCUCUAGCAAUAUCCACAGAAACUCAAUGUUACACCCUGUUUAGGUUGAAAUUAUUGUUUUUUAAACAGUAUAGCUUUUAUGAUCCAUAACUGUAUCACUCUGAAUCUGAAGAAUAUCAUUAAGGCAUUAUACAUAACAUUAUGUAAGUUAGAAGUAAUAUUAUAUCCUCACUGCAUAUUUAUCAUGGAAAUAAGAAAUAUGUUGCCUUCUGAUAUUACAUUUGAUUGAAUUUCUACCAUUACUAAUAUGGCAUCUAUUGUGUGCUUCCUGCUACAACAUGCUGCCUCCCCUUGGCAGUGUUCACAUGAUGUCUUGUUGUUACUGUGAUUGGCACCUGUUGGCUAAGAGGGAAUGUUUCAAGUGCUAUGGUUGGAUAAUGAUAAAUGUCAACAAACACAAAAGUGCUAUCUGUCAGCUGUAGAGCAAAAUCAUGGUAGAGUUUGCAAGUUAAAAAUUGGUGGAUUUAUGAAACAUUAGCGAAUCAAUUAGGAGAGAGUUUUAUUGACUUCUUAUCUUUCUAUACUUGGAACUUUGUAACAUGGGACUGUUAGUAAAUGCUGGACCAGGUGUAAACAAACCAUCUUCUUUACCUCCAAUUCACUUUACCAUGACUAACUUAAACAUUUCACUCCCCCACAAUUCAUCAUUUCCUUCAGUUGUCCACUUCUCCCAAUUUACUUCUUUACAGUUGAAGUCACCCAUGAUGGUCUGGAUUUCACAGUGGUUUAUCAGUUUCUCCAUAUCUGAUAAUGUUUCUUUUUAAAUUUCCUUGUGUUCUUCAGUGUUCCACGACCUUGUCCUUGGGGUACAUACAUCACUGCAAAGUUCCUUGUGGCUUUACCCUCAUUCCAAAUCCCCACUUUAAUCAAUUCAUCAUUAUUGCUUCCAUAAACUACUUCAUUAACAUGUGGGUCUUUCUUGGUUAAAAUCAUAAUAUCUCCUUAUUUGUUUGUCCUCAACUUUUCCAAUUAUAUUUUCAGUCACCUAUGUUUAAACACUCAAUGGAUUUAUCCAGUUUUAUAUAUGUUAGCCUGAUGAUAUCAGGUUCAUUUGUUUUGGAGUACUUGUUUAACUCAGUAUUUGCUGUCAUCAGCCCAUUUUCAUUUUUAAUUUCUGCCUCCCUCCACCUUUGUUUUUUAUGUACCAUUUUCUUAUUUCAUACCCAUCACUUUCCAGUACAAUUUUUUUUUUUCUCUGCCUCUGAUCUUUCCUCAUUUUUUUGCUUUUGCCUCAGACCACGGUUCAUUCACUUUUGCUCUUUCCUCCUCAUUAAGGUCUUUCUUUAUCCAGGUGUUUCUGUACUUCUCCAUUUUUUUUUUCCAACCUAUUUGCCUCUGCCAGGGUUUCUUCAGCAUCUAUCAGUGAUUUAAACAUUAUUUUUAAUGGCCAUGUUUUUUCUUGCACAUAUUUUCCCAAUCUUUGGAAUUCUUCAUUUUCAUUUUCUAAGUUACUACCAUUACUCUUAAUUUCCCUUACUAUCUUUGCAAUAUUAAUUCUCUCCAUCCUUUCUCUCUCAAAUGUGUGUGGUAAUUUAUCCUCUCAUCUCAAAGACUAGUACACAUUUCUUCUUGUCUACAGUCUCCCUUACCAGGUUCUCAUUUUCUUUGAUUACCAUAACAGUUGACUCCCUUACCUUUUCUUUCAAUGUUCUUGACAAUGUCUCUGAAAUUUUCUUACACCACUUCCUUCUCAUUUUUUCAUUUGUCAUGUCUUUCUUCCAUCUUCUUUACCCCCUCUGAACUGACUUUCACUUUAACAUUUAUUUCCUUAAGAAUUACAUCAUGACUGUUACACUUAACCUUCAGUGCGGCAUUCUCUUUCUUUAGUUUUUCCAAUCUCACUUUCAUCUCGCUGUAUACCUUUAGAACAAUAUCAUAUUUUUCACACUUCUUUCUCAGGUCAUUAUUGUCUUUGAAUAAUUUGUCCUGUUUUUCCAAAAUUCCAGCAACAACUUUCUCAUUGCUCUUAACUCCUUCUCAACAUUAACAAUCUUUCUCACAUUUGUUCUCUUUCUUCCUUAAAUCCCGAGAAAACCCUCAUUCCACUCAACUUGCCAAGUUGCCUUAACCCCAGAGGUCUUUCUAUAGAAAUACCUCUAGCUUGUGGAGUUGGAGUACAAGUAGAUAAGGGUUUUUUUACAUUACCUUCAUCCAUGGUGCCAUGGUUGAGAUCUUCUCUAUCCACUUCCCACCACAACAAACAUAUUUACAGGAUAAUUUUGAGACAAGACACACACUAGCAGCUUCCCUUCCCUUUGUGCACAUAUCUAGGCAUCUUUGAUGAAAGCGGUAGUCAGCAACCCACUCAUUGUGUGUGUGUGUGUGUGUGUGUGUGUGUGUGUGUGUGUGUGUGUGUGUGUGUGUGUGUGUGUGUGUGUGUGUGUGUGUAUACACGUUUUUUUCAUUCAUCAAAGACUAUAUAAUCCUUUGUAUAAUCACUGUGCAUUCACAUGCUUUCCCUACUACUACACUAAAAAAAAAAGAUGUGUGAGGUGACUGAGUCUGUGUAUGUUUCUGUCAAAAGGGAGAGAGCUACAUAGAAUAGCCACCACAAAAAAAGUAAGGCUGUUAUUCAACUUUUUUGCACAAGACAGUAGAACAGUCUUUUCAGACCAAAGUAAGACAAUGUGUGAUUUCUAUAUCAGUAGUCUCCACAAAUCCAUGGAUUUAUGAAUCUGAUACUAUGUUCAGUGAACAGGUGCAUAAUUACCCAUAUAUAACCUUGAUUAUAUGAAUUUUGCAAUUGGUGAACCUGUGGUUGAGAAGGGAAUAGUGAAAUGAAGAUAUCCCAUCUGCUUCAUUCAUAUUUUAUGAGAUUAUUAAGUUCCAGUGAGAUGAGUUAUCAGUCCUUUACAUGCUCAUUUCAAUCACUGCUUAUGACUCAACUCAUGGAAAGAUGAAAAUCUAUGCUCAAAAUCUCCAUGACAAGAACAUCAUCUUUCAUACCUUCCAAAGCUUUAUAUCAUGUGGAAAAAUGCAAAUGAAACUUUAUUUCUUCAGUGAAUAUAAUCUAAAGAGGCAUAGCUCACAAGAAAACCACUUUCAGCAGGGGAAACUAAUUUGAGUUCUAUAGAGCUGGCCCACAUAGUACAUCAGUGAUAGUGAUCCUGCUGCCUUUGUGCAUUAUAUGCCUAUUAUAAGUCAGAAUUAUAUAUAUGUGCAUUCUGCCAAGAGAUGAUUUAUCCAUGAUAACUGAAAGCUUUAGGGUGGAGACACUUACCAUGUUUUGAGUUUAGUAAUGGUGCUAGGAUGACAUCAUCUUUGUUUUCUACUAUAGACACACACUUGUCACAAUAGUGAACAUACUUGCAGUGUAAGCUCUUUGCUUUCAGAUAGCAAACAUCAUAUUCAUGUUGUCUUCAGUUCAGAAGGCUUCAGGGUGAAGACAUUAGUAUUAGUCUACUGAAGGUACCCAGAAUGCUAUAUAGUUGCUGCUAUCAGGUUGAAACAAUCUUGUGAUAAAUUCAACUGGUAGUAGCUGUAUUUUCUGUAAUAGCUCCAUUAAUACAUUCUGGUUACUGUUGCCAUCAAAAGUAGUCCAACAGGUAACUAAGUCAAGGAUGAAAAUUGUUUAGUAACUGUAUAAAAUUCUUGUUUGAAGUUUGAGUAUGUAAAUGUGUACAUUAUUUUUAUGAACUUUGCACAAAGUAGAGAAACACUAGCAUUAGUUGGUCAAGAGGAAUGAAUGUUUUGCUGAGAAAGUGUGAUAUUUUGAAUUUUUAAAUGUAUAUAACAAAACUUAUAAUUAGAUAGGUAGAGUAAAUGGAUAGGCAGGUGUGUGGAUUGGGCAGGAAUAUGUGACAUAAUUAAGGUGCAUUCUUAUUUUUGUGAGUAAUGAGCAGUGUGUGGCUUGACGUUAUGAGAUUAUGAUCAUGAAGAUUUGGUGUGUCAGGAAGAUUCUUCAGAGGGAUCCCAGUACUGUAUUCUGUGUAAGAUUAAUUUUUCUUUUCAUGUAUUAUUUUAUGAUGAAUUGAUAAGAAUGUGUGCAUUCUGCAGACCAAGCAACAGUUGUGUGUUAAUCUUACAAAUACAUGUAACAACAGCAUAAACAUCUGCUGUGUUCACAAUCAUUUCAGUACAUUUCCAGCUGGCCCUUCCUACUGAGGCUGUUGAUUACUGCUAUACCCCAUUUUGGGUAUGACAUUUGAUUGAUUAUGAUAAUAUAAAAAAUUCUUGUCAAAAGAAAGAUGGAUUUGAUGUAGAUAUGUAGUGAAGAAAUAGAUUGUUUUGGCAUUU